AAUGAACGCUGGCGGCAUGGAUUAGGCAUGCAAGUCGAACGAUCCUGCUUGCAGGAUAGUGGCGAAGGGGUGAGUAACGCGUGAGUAACCUGCCUUAAGGUUUGGGAUAGCCCUGCGAAAGCGGGAUUAAUACCGGAUGUGGCGUUCUGCUGCAGAGCAGAAUUGCUAAAGGAGUAAUCCGCCUUAAGGUGGACUCGCGUCCUAUUAGCUUGUUGGUGAGGUAAUGGCUCACCAAGGCUACGACAGGUAGGUGGUCUGAGAGGAUGGUCACCCACACUGGGACUGAGACACUGCCCAG
rnacentral:rRNA from 1 species